UACUAUACAGUACGGUCAUACGCGGUAGCUAGCUAGCAACACGAUGUAAACAAUCUAUCGAUCGGCGCUAGCUAAAAAUGGCACAGGCAGAAGAAAAAGAAAGUGCUGAAUCACUGCUUGCGGAUAUUCAGAAGAAAAUUACAGAUGCAUUUGAUAUCUUCGACCAUGAGUCUAAUAAGACUGUUGAUGUUAGGGAGAUUGGGACCAUUAUCAGGUCAUUAGGUUGCUGUCCUAGUGAAGGUGAACUCCAUGAUCUUUUAUCUGAGAUGGAAGAGGAGGAGCCCACAGGAUACAUCAAGUAUGAUCGUUACAAGCCAAUCAUGCGAGAAGUUCUCAUGGAACGCAAAUUCAAGCCAUCCCCUGAGGAUCAGCUUGUCAAGGCAUUUGAAGUACUAGAUGUUGAAAAGAAAGGCCAUCUUACAGUUGAAGAGGUGACAAAACUCAUGUCUGAAGAAGGAGAGCCAUUCACGCAGGAAGAACUUGAAGAGAUGCUUUCAGCUGCUGUGGACCCAGAGAAAGGGGUGGUCCUGUAUAAAGAUUAUGCUUCGAUGAUGACACUUGAUGCAGAAAUGUGAUUCCUGUCCUUUUUUUACAUCAUCACUAAAUGAAAUGUCAGUGAUGAAUUUUAGUGAUUUUGAACAGUGUCCAAGGAAAAGAUUGUGUUUUAUCGCUGCAAAAUAUUUGAAUCACAAAAUGGAUGACAAAUCGUUUCAAGUCUGUCCAAGGUCAUAUGCACUGAACACAAAUAAGCAUGUAAUGGACUAUACAGAGGUGUUUAGCCCGACCGUUUCAGCUGUUUGUUAUAUUUCAAUAUUGAGGGCAUUUGAAGAGUAAUCCUUUGCUAAGAAACAUUUCUUGAUCCGAUAUUCUUCCUGAAUACCAUGAUAAGAAAUGCUCACAAUGCUAUUAAACAUCGGUCUUUCCCACAACUGUUAUUUCUUUGGAAAAAAAAUAUAAAGUAGUUUUUCACACCAAGUACUUCAAUACAGUUUGGACCAUAUUUGUCAACUUUACUUGGUCUUGAAAGUCAUUUGUAGCUCUGAAUAGGAAGUUGCAAAUGUCAAAUGAAAAAAUGCGAAAAUAUUUUCUAUGUUAGGAUAGAAAAUAUUAAAUGCACACGAGUCAAAAGUGAGGUCAAAGAUGCCCAGCUUUCAGCAGGCCUGCAUAACAUAUGGUAAUAGAUUCCAAAAACAAGUUUCAUGAUGAGCAAAAUAAAUAUAUGGCUCAGCUUUUGUGCAAAAAUAAAUGCUAAUUCAGCUUUGCUGGUCAGAGCUCAUCCAAUUAAUUA